rnacentral:rRNA from 1 species
GACGUAGGAGGCGAGCGUUGUCCGGAUUCAUUGGGCGUAAAGAGCGCGCAGGCGGCUUGGUAAGUCGGAUGUGAAAUCCCGAGGCUCAACCUCGGGUCUGCAUCCGAUACUGCCCGGCUAGAGGUAGGUAGGGGAGAUCGGAAUUCCCGGUGUAGUGGUGAAAUGCGUAGAUAUCGGGAGGAACACCAGUGGCGAAGGCGACUUCCUGGCCUGUUCUUGACGCUGAGGCGCGAAAGCUAGGGGAGCAAACGGG